GACGGAGGAUGCAAGUGUUAUCCGGAAUCACUGGGCGUAAAGCGUCUGUAGGUGGUCAAAUAAGUCAACUGUUAAAUCUUGAGGCUCAACCUCAAAAUCGCAGUCGAAACUAUUAGACUAGAGUAUAGUAGGGGUAAAGGGAAUUUCCAGUGGAGCGGUGAAAUGCGUAGAGAUUGGAAAGAACACCGAUGGCGAAGGCACUUUACUGGGCUAUUACUAACAUCUCAGAGACGAAAGCUAGGGUAGCAAUGGG
rnacentral:rRNA from 1 species